GACGAACGCUGGCGGCGUGCUUAACACAUGCAAGUCGAACGGAAAGGCCCUGCUUGCAGGGUACUCGAGUGGCGAACGGGUGAGUAACACGUGGGUGAUCUGCCCUGCACUUCGGGAUAAGCCUGGGAAACUGGGUCUAAUACCGGAUAGGAGCCAUUUUUAGUGUGAUGGUUGGAAAGUUUUUUCGGUGUAGGAUGAGCUCGCGGCCUAUCAGCUUGUUGGUGGGGUAAUGGCCUACCAAGGCGGCGACGGGUAGCCGGCCUGAGAGGGUGGACGGCCACAUUGGGACUGAGAUACGGCCCAGACUCCUACGGGGGGCAGCAGUGGGGAAUCUUGCACAAUGGGCGCAAGCCUGAUGCAGCGACGCCGCGUGGGGGAUGACGGCCUUCGGGUUGUAAACUCCUUUCGCUAGGGACGAAGCUUUUUGUGACGGUACCUAGAUAAGAAGCACCGGCUAACUACGUG
rnacentral:rRNA from 1 species